AUUCUGACAUUUAUUAUUUUAUGCAGGAGAUAAAAACAGCAGUGAAAAGGGUAUGCGUUGGGACUGAACCUCUCUCAGCCAGCGAAAGCAGAGAAUACUCCUCAUCAGGCAGCAAGUGGCAUUUGGACCCACCUUUAAAAGAUGGGUAAGACUUGGACACUUGAAGAUUGCUGAGAAAUGAGAAGAAGACAUUAAGCAGGGUGCAAGCAUAGUAGACAAUGAACAUGGAGCCUAAAGCACAGCAUAGAAAACGGAGGAUAACAUCGGGAAACUGGAUGGCUGGAAAGCACGUGAACAUGUGCAGAGCAAAGAAAAAUGGGAAACUUUAUAUCCUGAAGUCCUGGUUAAAGAGAGUUCAGUCCGAGAGGUUCCCGCAGAAGGUAAGAAACCAGCCGGAGAAGUUCAUAGGCAAAUAAAACAAACAAAUAAAUGAAAAUCUCAAAUCUUCUUCACCCAACCUCUUAGUGUCAGCCAGGAAGGUUAUGGUUGAUGUAGAAAGAAAAAUGAAAGGCUGAAGUUUGCCCUGGUGCCAUCCACCAGGAAUGGAUGAAGAGUGUGGAAGAGUUGCUAAGGAACUGCUUACCAGAACAAGUCCUUCUGAGGACCCUCCCCACAUUGAGAAAAAGCCAUAUUGCCAACCCUUAUGCUGAUGACAAACACCAUAAUCCCACCAUUAAGUAGAUUUCUCUAAGGGUAUGUACUAGGAAAUAUUCUAGUUCUAACUGCUCCAUGUUCCUGGAAAGAGAGGAUGGCAUUUUUAAAAUAAAUGUUCUUCAACCUAUAGACUGAUAGACUCUUUGAUAUGACAGAAAGGGGAAAUUUAGUUAUUCCAAUUCCUCAACAGAAUCCCUUCCAAGCUUCUUUCUAAGCCACUCCCUCAAAACUUGAGUACUUUCAAUAUUCUUCAAAUCCUAAUCACUCUUUGAGACUGAGCUCAAAUAUCUCCUCUCAGAAGCCUCUUGAGGCUUCAGUUAAUUACUCCUUUCUCUGUGUUCCCAUGGUAUGUUACCUCCACCUGUCCUGGGACAUUUAUCACGAUAUAUUGUUAUCUGUUUAUUUACCUGUCUUCCUCCAUUGCUCUAUGAGUCUCCUUUAGAUCAGUAAUUCUGCUAUACUCAUUCCCUGUAUCUUCAGUGCCGUAAACAGUGUUCAGCUUGAAGUACUCAAUAAAUAUUUGUAAAUGGUUUUGAUUGCAUUGGUUACCUACUGUCACUGACA